GACGAACCGUCCAAACGUUAUUCGGAAUUAUUGGGCUUAAAGGGUGCGUAGGCUGUGCAGUAAGUUGGGUGUGAAAUCCCUCGGCUCAACCGAGGAACUGCGCCGAAUACUGCUGUGCUAGAGGAAGAUAGGGGUAAGCGGAACUGAUGGUGGAGCGGUGAAAUGCGUAGAUAUCGAGAGGAACACCAGAGGUGAAGACGGGUUGCUGGGCCGACACUGACGCUGACAGCGCGAAAGCCAGGGGAGCAAACGGG
rnacentral:rRNA from 1 species